GUAUGAGGUAAAGGAAAUUUCCAGUAUUUCACCUACAUAUAUGAAACGCGAGUUUGUCUCGUCAAAAGUCAGUAGUGUUUGUUGAAGGAAUAGGACUAUCUAUAUUUCGGAAUGUUAAGGUGAAUUAAACAUGACGUUCACGGACGGUGACGCUUACUGCGAGGACAUGGAUCCCGAAAAUUUGGCUGUGGUCAACACAGCGAAAGAGCCUUCUGCUGUGGGAAAAUGGGAGAACAGGAACGACAACAUUUUCGAGGAAGAAUUCAACAAUGUGGAAGACCUCUGCGAAGACAUGGAACCAGGGAAUUUGGUUACAAACGAGGAAGCGAAA